rnacentral:rRNA from 1 species
GUUGAACGCUGGCGGUAUGCUUAACACAUGCAAGUCGAACGGACUCUUCGGAGUUAGUGGCGGACGGGUGAGUAACGCGUGAGAAUCUGGCUAUGGGUUUGGGACAACCACUGGAAACGGUGGCUAAUACCGGAUGUGCCGAGAGGUAAAAGUGAAAUUGCCUGAAGAUGAGCUCGCGUCUGGUUAGCUAGUUGGUGAGGUAAAGGCUCACUAAGGCAGCGAUCAGUAGCUGGUCUGAGAGGAUGACCAGCCACACUGGGACUGAGACACGGCCCAGACUCCUACGGGAGGCAGCAGUGAGGAAUUUUCCACGAUGGGCGAAAGCCUGACGAAGCUAUUCCGAUUGAGGGAAGAAGGCUCUUGGGUUGUAAACCUCUUUUCUUAGGGAAGGACGAAAUGACGGUACCUAAGGAAUCAGCAUCGGCUAACUCCGUG